CAAGACAGCUCAGAUCUGAAGACCUCAGGAUGUGCUGCUUUCCAUCCCAGAAAGCUGUGAGGAAGUAAGGCCAGGAGCCACUCAUUGUUUCAGAGGGCAGUAAUACAAGUCAAUGAGGAAAUGUUCAUUCCAGCAAUGAAGAAAAAGACCACAUAAUGAUGUAUUGUUUCCUCCAGGAGAUGAGAAGCUCCCGGUGCACAGGAAGCUAUCACCUCAGCAUGCUGUUUGAUGAAAGGCAUAUCAAUAAGGAUGAGAGAAGGAGGAGACUCAAGUAGCAGCAGCAGCAGCAGCAGCAGCAGCAGCAGCUGGAUCUCUUCUUUACAUCAAUAACUAAUUUAAGUGUUUCUUACAGCGUAAUGUUUCUCCUCCAAGUACAGCUGGUUGCAGAGCAUCUCCUCAUAGGCAAAUGCCUAAGAAUUCUCUAGAAACAGUAGGGACAUAACAGACAGGACAUUUGGCUAAAAUUCAAGACCUGGCACAAAAUGGCUCCUCAGUUAACCACUGCCAAGCAGCUGCUCUCCCUGAGCCUCUGUUUCUAAAACAAGAAAAGAGUCCA